CGGGUGAGUAAUGUAUGGGGAUCUGCCUGAUGGCGGGGGAUAACUACUGGAAACGGUAGCUAAUACCGCAUAAUGUCGCAAGACCAAAGAGGGGGACCUUCGGGCCUCUUGCCAUCGGAUGUGCCCAGAUGGGAUUAGCUAGUAGGUGGGGUAACGGCUCACCUAGGCGACGAUCCCUAGCUGGUCUGAGAGGAUGACCAGCCACACUGGAACUGAGACACGGUCCAG
rnacentral:rRNA from 1 species